AGUCUGGUGCCAGCAGCCGCGGUAAUUCCAGCUCCAAUAGCGUAUAUUAAACUUGUUGCAGUUAAAAAGCUCGUAGUUGAAUUUCUGCGUCACCGUAUUUUGACUUUUGUCGACUGUCGGUUUCGCUUUUGGGAUUUAUCCCUUUUUACUUUGAGAAAAUUAGAGUGUUUCAAGCAGACUUUUGUCUUGAAUACUUCAGCAUGGAAUAAUAGAGUAGGACUUUGGUUCUAUUUUGUUGGUUUGUGAACCUUAGUAAUGGUUAAUA
rnacentral:rRNA from 1 species